CUGCAGCUCAAGUGGUGACCGCUAUUAUUGGGCCUAAAACGUUCGUAGCCGGCUGAGUAAAUGCUUGGGUAAAUCGUGCCGCUUAACGGUACGAAUUCCGGGUAGACUGCUCAGCUUGAGACCGGGAGAAGCUAGAGGUACUCCUGGGGUAGAGGUGAAAUUCUGUAAUCCUAGGGGGACCACCAGUGGCGAAGGCGUCUAGCUAGAACGGGUCUGACGGUGAGGAACGAAGCCCUGGGGCGCAAACCGGAUUAGAUACCCGAGUAGUCC
rnacentral:rRNA from 1 species